rnacentral:rRNA from 1 species
CACGUAGGGUGCGGAGCGUUGUCCGGAAUUAUUGGGCGUAAAGAGCUCGUAGGCGGUGUGUCGCGUCGGCCGUGAAAACCUGCAGCUUAACUGUGGGCGUGCGGUCGAUACGGGCAUCACUGGAGUUCGGCAGGGGAGACUGGAAUUCCUGGUGUAGCGGUGAAAUGCGUAGAUAUCAGGAGGAACACCGGUGGCGAAGGCGCUCAUCUGGCCCAAUACUGACGCUGAGGCGCGAAAACUAGGGGAGCAAACGGG